rnacentral:siRNA from 1 species
GGAGGAAUGAUGUCCAAUGCCAAC